rnacentral:rRNA from 1 species
AAGCCAGACUCCUACGGGAGGCAGCAGUGGGGAAUAUUGCACAAUGGGGGAAACCCUGAUGCAGCGACGCCGCGUGAGCGAAGAAGUACCUCGGUAUGUAAAGCUCUAUCAGCAGGGAAGAAGAUGACGGUACCUGACCAAGAAGCUCCGGCUAAAUACGUGCCAGCAGCCGCGGUAAUACGUAUGGAGCAAGCGUUAUCCGGAUUUACUGGGUGUAAAGGGAGCGCAGGCGGCCUUGUAAGUCUGAUGUGAAAGCCCGGGGCUCAACCCCGGGACUGCAUUUGGAACUGUGUAGCUGGAGUGUCGGAGAGGCAAGCGGAAUUCCUAGUGUAGCGGUGAAAUGCGUAGAUAUUAGGAGGAACACCAGUGGCGAAGGCGGACUGCUGGACGAUGACUGACGUUGAGGCUCGAAAGCGUGGGGAGCAAACAGGAUUAGAUACCCCCGUAAA